rnacentral:rRNA from 1 species
UUAGCAUGGAAUAAUGGAAUAGGACGGCUUUCCUAUUUUGUUGGUUUCUAGGGAAGCCGUAAUGAUUAAUAGGGAUAGUCGGGGGCAUCAGUAUUCAAUUGUCAGAGGUGAAAUUCUUGGAUUUAUUGAAGACUAACUACUGCGAAAGCAUUUGCCAAGGAUGUUUUCAUUAAUCAGUGAACGAAAGUUAGGGGAUCGAAGACGAUCAGAUACCGUCGUAGUCUUAACCAUAAACUAUGCCGACUAGGGAUCGGGCGAUGUUACUAUCUUGACUCGCUCGGCACCUUACGAGAAAUCAAAGUUUUUGGGUUCUGGGGGGGGUAUGGUCGCAAGGCUGAAACUUAAAGAAAUUGACGGAAGGGCACCACCAGGAGUGGAGCCUGCGGCUUAAUUUGACUCAACACGGGGAAACUCACCAGGUCCAGAUACAAGUAGGAUCGACAGAUUGAGAGCUCUUUCUUGAUUUUGUAGUUGGUGGUGCAUGGCCGUUCUUAGUUGGUGGAGUGAUUUGUCUGCUUAAUUGCGAUAACGAACGAGACCUUAACCUGCUAAAUAGCCCGGCUCGCUUUGGCGGGUCGCCGGCUUCUUAGAGGGACUAUCGGCUCAAGCCGAUGGAAGUUUGAGGCAAUAACAGGUCUGUGAUGCCCUUAGAUGUUCUGGGCUGCACGCGCGCUACACUGACAGAGCCAACGAGUUUUUUUCCUUGGCCGGAAGGUCUGGGUAAUCUUGUUAAACUCUGUCGUGCUGGGGAUAGAGCAUUGCAAU